rnacentral:rRNA from 1 species
AGCUGAUCCAGCAACGCCGCGUGUGUGAGAAGGCCUUCGGGUUGUAAACCCCUUUCAGCCGGGAAGAACGCGUGGGGGUUAUUACCCCUGGCCCUUGACGGUACCGCCCGAGGAAGCCCCGGCUCUCUCCGUGCCAGCAGCCGCGGUUAUACGGAGGGGGCAAGCGUUGUUCGGAAAUACUGGCCGUAGGGGGCUCGUAGGCGGUCGUUCAAGUCGGAGUGUGAAACCCCGGGGCUCACCCGGGGAAUUGCUUUCGAAAUGUGCGGACUUGAGUGCGGGGAGGGGAAAGGGAAUUUCCGGGUGUAGGGGGGAAAUGCGUAAAAUAUCGGAAGGAACACCGGGGGCGAAGGCGGCUUCCUGGACCGGUAUUGACGCUGAGGAGCGAAAGCCGGGGGAGCAAACGGGAUUAAAUACCCCGGUAGUCCUGGCCGUAAACGAUGAACCCUUGGUGUGGGGGGUAUUGAUCCCUGCCGUGCCGAAGCUAA